rnacentral:rRNA from 1 species
GCGAAUCGAUGGGAGCUUGCUCCCUGAGAUUAGCGGCGGACGGGUGAGUAACACGUGGGCAACCUGCCUAUAAGACUGGGAUAACUUCGGGAAACCGGAGCUAAUACCGGAUACGUUCUUUUCUCGCAUGAGAGAAGAUGGAAAGACGGUUUACGCUGUCACUUAUAGAUGGGCCCGCGGCGCAUUAGCUAGUUGGUGAGGUAAUGGCUCACCAAGGCGACGAUGCGUAGCCGACCUGAGAGGGUGAUCGGCCACACUGGGACUGAGACACGGCCCAGACUCCUACGGGAGGCAGCAGUAGGGAAUCUUCCGCAAUGGACGAAAGUCUGACGGAGCAACGCCGCGUGAACGAAGAAGGCCUUCGGGUCGUAAAGUUCUGUUGUUAGGGAAGAACAAGUACCAGAGUAACUGCUGGUACCUUGACGGUACCUAACCAGAAAGCCACGGCUAACUACGUGCCAGCAGCCGCGGUAAUACGUAGGUGGCAAGCGUUGUCCGGAAUUAUUGGGCGUAAAGCGCGCGCAGGUGGUUCCUUAAGUCUGAUGUGAAAGCCCACGGCUCAACCGUGGAGGGUCAUUGGAAACUGGGGAACUUGAGUGCAGAAGAGGAAAGUGGAAUUCCAAGUGUAGCGGUGAAAUGCGUAGAGAUUUGGAGGAACACCAGUGGCGAAGGCGACUUUCUGGUCUGUAACUGACACUGAGGCGCGAAAGCGUGGGG